rnacentral:tRNA from 1 species
CAUCAAGAUGACUGAAAGCAAGUAAUGGUCUCUUAAACCAAAUUAUAGUAAUUUAGCAACUACUUCUGAUG